AUUGAACGCUGGCGGUAGGCCUAACACAUGCAGGUCGAACGCGAAAGUCCUUCGGAGUGAGUAGAGUGGCGGACGGGUGAGUAACGCGUAGGAAUCUAUCCUGUAGUGGGGAGUAACGUUUCGAAAGGAACGCUAAUACCGCAUAAGCCCUGAGGGGAAAGGUGGGGACCGGCAAGGCCUCACGCGAAUGGAGCGGCCGAUGUCAGAUUAGCUAGUUGGUGGGGUAAAGGCCUACCAAGGCGACGAUCAGUAGUUGGUCUGAGAGGACGACCAGCCACACUGGGACUGAGACACGGCCCAGACUCCUACGGGAGGCAGCAGUGGGGAAUUUUGGACAAUGGGCGCAAGCCUGAUCCAGCAAUGCCGCGUGAGUGAAGAAGGCC
rnacentral:rRNA from 1 species